rnacentral:rRNA from 1 species
GAGUUUGAUCCUGGCUCAGAACGAACGCUGGCGGCGUGCCUAACACAUGCAAGUCGAACGGAUUUGAGGGGCUUGCUCCUCAAGUUAGUGGCGCACGGGUGAGUAACGCGUAGAUAAUCUGCCUGAUGAUCUGGGAUAACACUUCGAAAGGGGUGCUAAUACCGGAUAAGCCCACGGGGUCUUUGGAUUCUGCGGGAAAAGGGGGGGACUUUCGGGCCUUCUGUCAUCAGAUGAGUCUGCGUACCAUUAGCUAGUUGGUAGGGUAAUGGCCUACCAAGGCUACGAUGGUUAGCUGGUUUGAGAGAAUGAUCAACCACACUGGAACUGAGACACGGUCCAGACUCCUACGGGAGGCAGCAGUGGGGAAUUUUGCGCAAUGGGCGAAAGCCUGUCGCARCAACSCCGCGUGAGUGAUGAAGGCUUUCGGGUCGUAAAGCUCUGUCGAGGGGAAAGAAGUGUAUUGUGGCUAAUAUCCACGAUACUUGACGGUACCCCUAAAGGAAGCACCGGCUAACUCCGUGCCAGCAGCCGCGGUAAUAC